CAUGAAGUCGGAAUCGCUAGUAAUCGUGGAUCAGAAUGCCACGGUGAAUACGUUCCCGGGCCUUGUACACACCGCCCGUCACACCAUGGGAGUGGGCUGCAAAAGAAGUAGGUAGUUUAACCUUCGGGGGGACGCUUACCACUUUGUGGUUCAUGACUGGGGUGAAGUCGUAACAAGGUAGCGCUAGGGGAACCUGGCGCUGGAUCAC
rnacentral:rRNA from 1 species